ACAACGAAGAGUUUGAUCCUGGCUCAGGAUGAACGCUAGCGACAGGCUUAACACAUGCAAGUCGAGGGGCAGCACAGGUAGCAAUACCGGGUGGCGACCGGCGCACGGGUGAGUAACGCGUAUGCAACUUACCUAUCAGAGGGGGAUAACCCGGCGAAAGUCGGACUAAUACCGCAUGAAGCAGGGGCCCCGCAUGGGGAUAUUUGCUAAAGAUUCAUCGCUGAUAGAUAGGCAUGCGUUCCAUUAGGCAGUUGGCGGGGUAACGGCCCACCAAACCGACGAUGGAUAGGGGUUCUGAGAGGAAGGUCCCCCACAUUGGUACUGAGACACGGACCAAACUCCUACGGGAGGCAGCAGUGAGGAAUAUUGGUCAAUGGGCGUAAGCCUGAACCAGCCAAGUCGCGUGAGGGAUGAAGGUUCUAUGGAUCGUAAACCUCUUUUAUAAGGGAAUAAAGUGCGGGACGUGUCCCGUUUUGUAUGUACCUUAUGAAUAAGGAUCGGCUAACUCCGUGCCAGCAGCCGCGGUAAUACGGAGGAUCCGAGCGUUAUCCGGAUUUAUUGGGUUUAAAGGGUGCGUAGGCGGCCUUUUAAGUCAGCGGUGAAAGUCUGUGGCUCAACCAUAGAAUUGCCGUUGAAACUGGGAGGCUUGAGUAUGUUUGAGGCAGGCGGAAUGCGUGGUGUAGCGGUGAAAUGCUUAGAUAUCACGCAGAACCCCGAUUGCGAAGGCAGCCUGCCAAGCCAUGACUGACGCUGAUGCACGAAAGCGUGGGGAUCAAACAGGAUUAGAUACCCUGGUAGUCCACGCAGUAAACGAUGAUCACUAGCUGUUUGCGAUACACUGUAAGCGGCACAGCGAAAGCGUUAAGUGAUCCACCUGGGGAGUACGCCGGCAACGGUGAAACUCAAAGGAAUUGACGGGGGCCCGCACAAGCGGAGGAACAUGUGGUUUAAUUCGAUGAUACGCGAGGAACCUUACCCGGGUUUGAACGCAUUCGGACCGAGGUGGAAACACCUUUUCUAGCAAUAGCCGUUUGCGAGGUGCUGCAUGGUUGUCGUCAGCUCGUGCCGUGAGGUGUCGGCUUAAGUGCCAUAACGAGCGCAACCCUUGCCACUAGUUACUAACAGGUAAAGCUGAGGACUCUGGUGGGACUGCCAGCGUAAGCUGCGAGGAAGGCGGGGAUGACGUCAAAUCAGCACGGCCCUUACAUCCGGGGCGACACACGUGUUACAAUGGCGUGGACAAAGGGAAGCCACCUGGCGACAGGGAGCGAAUCCCCAAACCACGUCUCAGUUCGGAUCGGAGUCUGCAACCCGACUCCGUGAAGCUGGAUUCGCUAGUAAUCGCGCAUCAGCCAUGGCGCGGUGAAUACGUUCCCGGGCCUUGUACACACCGCCCGUCAAGCCAUGGGAGCCGGGGGUACCUGAAGUCCGUAACCGCGAGGAUCGGCCUAGGGUAAAACUGGUGACUGGGGCUAAGUCGUAACAAGGUAGCCGUACCGGAAGGUGCGGCUGGAACACCUCCUUU
rnacentral:rRNA from 1 species